GAGAGAGAGGGAGAGAGAGAGAGAGGGAGAGAGAGUCGGACUCCACUCUGUACCCUCGGGAGGAAACAUCCAAUCCGCCGGCUGCAGUCUGACUUGAUCCUCUUCUCUUGGGAACGUCGAUCAAUAAGGAUACUUUAUCCCCGACGAAACUUUGCGUACGCCUCUUCGCAGCAUCCUCUCCUACCGGGCGCACGGAUAAAACUGCCCUAUAAAAUGGUAAAGCAGAUGACGACCCCCUGCGCUCAUUCAUGAGCGGUGACAAGUCGUCUUUUGGCGUGGAUGUGCGACAGGGGACGUUCAGAUCAGGCACACGGUGUCCCCUCUUCAGCUGAGAAGAAAAGUGAGCAGGACGAGCCGCGGGAGGAAUACAAAUCGUGAAUGAAGAAAGAAGGAGAAAAGGUUCGACUUGGAUAAUGAGCCGAGCUGCCGGCGUGGAGCGUUAAAAAAAAAACAAAAAAAGGUUUAGUUUCUUCUUGACAGGCUGAGGAAGACUGAAGAGAAAUUCAGUGUAGCGUUUCUGCAUCUGCAACAACAGAAGGAUGACAGUCAAACUGGACUUUGAGGAGUGUUUGAAAGACUCUCCGCGCUUCAGAGCUGAAAUCGAAGAUGUCCAAAACGAUGUGAGCGAACUCGAGACACGAUUGGAGAAGCUUGUGAAACAAUGCCACGCCAUGGUGGAGGCAGGCAGGGUCUACUGCCAGAGCAGCAAGAACUUCGUCAGCGGCCUCCGGGAGCUGGGACACCACUGCUCUGGGGACAAGAUGAUGGAGGAGUGUUUAGACACAUUUUCCAAAAAGCUGUCAAUCAUCUUGGAGGCACAGGGGGAAAUGAUUGAGACCACACAGAAGUCAGUCAAGAUGAAGCUGCAGAACUUUGUCAAAGAGGAUGUGCGUCGGUUCAAGGAUGUGCGCAAGGAGUUCGAGCGCAGCAGCGAAUGUCUGGAGGGGGCACAGGCGAGGAACGCUCAGGCCCCACGGGGGAAACAGCACGAGGUGGAGGAGGCGAGCUGCGCUCUGCUUAACGCACGUAAGACCUUUCGGUCGGGGGCCCUGGAUUAUGUCUUGGAGAUUAAUGUCAUUGAGGCCAAGAAGAAAACAGACAUUUUGAUGGCAAUGUUGUCGCUGAUGGAGGCUCAAGCCCAGUUCUUCCAACAUGGCCACCAGUCACUGUCAGAACUGGACAAGUAUCGACAAAAACUGAACGAAGAGCACACUCAGUUUGUUCUGAACUCUGCCCGGGACAAGCGGGACAUGGAGCAAAGACACGCUGCAAUCAAGAAAAAGGACAUGUCCUACGAUGACUCCAUCAUGGAUUUUAAUGCCGAUGCAGCCAAUGGGAUCGCCAUGGAGGGAUACCUCUACAAGAGAGCCAGCAACGCCUUCAAGACCUGGAGCAGGCGCUGGUUUUCGAUUCAAAAAAAUCAGCUAGUGUAUCAGAAGAAAUUCAAGGACCAGCCUACAGUGGUGGUGGAGGACUUGCGCCUUUGCACAGUCAAGCCCAGCACUGAAAAUGAGAGACGAUUCUGCUUUGAAGUGGUCUCCCCGUCAAAGUGUUGUUUGUUGCAGGCAGAUUCAGAAAGGCAGCAGCAGGCAUGGAUCAGCGCCGUCCAAAACAGCAUCGCCUCAGCGUUUCAGGAGCACAGAGAGGACCCACACAGCCCAAGACAGCGCUGCAGCUCGAUGUCAGUGAGCAGUCCAGGAGGAGGGGGAGGAGGAGUAGCGGAUCAGGAGAGCAAAGGCUGCAAGGCGCUGGAGGAGGUUCAGGCGAUCCAGGGGAACAAGCAGUGUUGUGACUGCGGGGAGCCUGGGCCUGAUUGGGCCUCCAUAAACCUGGGCAUCACGCUUUGUAUCGUGUGCUCAGGAAUACACAGGAGCCUGGGAGUCCAUUUCUCCAAAGUACGCUCCCUCACGCUCGACUCCUGGGAGCCAGAGCUCAUUAAGUUGAUGUGUGAAUUAGGAAACACGGUAAUCAACAGGAUCUACGAGGCCCGGAUUGACGAGAUCACCAUCAAGAAGCCCCAUCCCAGCAGCCCCAGAGGAGACAAGGAGUCAUGGAUCCGGUCAAAAUAUGUUGAAAAGAAGUUUAUCCAGAAGCUGCCCGAGACCGGCAGGAACCCCCCGCUGAGUCGAUCCAGCGCCAGGAGGAACCGAUCGACCACGCAGGACCGGACCGUACAGCGACCACCACUCAAACCCAAACCAAACCGAGCUACUCUGCCUCGGGUCACAGGGCUGAGUCCCAGUGACCUUGUCCAAAAGAACAAUACAGGCUUUCACAAAGACAUGGACGAGGAAGAGGAGGAUCUGAGCGGACUUCACCCUGGGGCGCUGCUGUACCGCUCGGCAGCCAUGCAGAACUUCCCCGUCAUGGCCGACGCUUUGGCCCACGGAGCCGACGUCAACUGGGUCAAUGUGGCAGAGGAGUCCAGCACGCCACUGAUACAAGCUGUCUCAGCAAACGCCCUGGCAGCCUGCGAGUUCCUUCUGCAGAACGGUGCCACCGUCAACCAGGCGGACAUCAACGGGAGGGGACCACUUCACCACGCCACCAUCCUGGGUCACACCGGGCUGGUUUGUCUCUUCUUGAAGCGAGGAGCAGACUACAACGCCAAAGACAGGAACCAGAAAGACCCCAUAACUAUAGCUGUGGACAACGCCAACGCUGACAUCGUCACUCUGCUGCGGAUCGCCAAGAUGAACAAAGAGAUGCGGGAGAUGGACGGAGCGUUUGGCCAAUCAGGUCACUCAAGCGGGCAGGGAUCUGGGGGUGGGCUGGGCGGGACUGGAGGUGGGCUGGCCCACACCAGAAAGAGCCUCCAGGCUAUAAAGAACCAUAUAAGUGUCUGGGCUCUGGGGGGGCAGAACGAUUAGUGAGGAUAAAAAUCAGCCCUGAGACAGAGACAGUGAGACUGGAAUGAGCUUGUAUUUGGAUGUGAGCUAAAAUGAAAAUGACACGCUUUAUUGUUGAGAUCGUCAUGUGGUGUUUAUCUGCACCGUCUUUAGAGAAAUUAUCCCGGCCUCCCACACACAUCACUCAAGGAAAGAUGUGUCAUCAUAUCUAAGCUUAAAAAAAAAAGGAAAUAAAGAAGGAAGAAGCACCUUCAUUGAGAAAAGAUAAAAUCCAGUUCUUGUAAAGCAGCAGAGAGCCAGAACGCAGCAUCCAGCAGUGUGAAGGCAGAGUCUCAAGGUCAUAAAUGAAAACAGACUCACUGAUCAGCGACGAUGGAGAAAGGUCUUGUGAGAGACGUUGUUGUUGGAGCCCAUCUUGCUCUGUGAAUCAUAUAUGCACAUCACGCUGCACUUUGAACCCCACAAAAACUCAUUAAAACCUACAUGGAUGUUUCCAAUAUUCCACUGUGGUAUAGCUGAAGCUUUAGAAAACCUAUAUAAUAGACCUACAUCAGGCCUAUUUUUUCUCUGAUAUUGUGUAUCUGGAAUAUUUUUAUAUAUAUUUUAGACUUUACUGUGCAUCUCCCUGUGUGUUGGGCUGUCUUUUUCAGUCCACUUUUAUAAGCUAAAUACAAUGUUGGGUUUGGUUCUCAAGAACGGUUUUCUCCCUCUAUUCUGUGAAUAGUGAGGCGGUUUGAACUCUGUCACACAUUACAUGUUCGUAUUUAUCAGAGCUUCAUGCCGUCAGCCAGGUCCGACAGCUCCGCGCUGUAGCUCUCAGGCUUAAAGUUAGCCGUGAGUUUUGUUUGCAUUUUGUCAUUUUGGCUCCUUCUCAAGCUGCAAAGUCCAUUCUUUCAUGAUUGUCCUUUCAGUCGACGUGGGGGCUUUUUGUUAAGCUUCUCGUGUGAGCUGAGUUCAGUUUACAAUCAAGGCUUCACUCGUGAAGGAAUGGGAACGUGAUGCUUUUGUCUGCUUUGAAACAACUGCUGGUCAGUAUUUGACGUGCUGUGCUUUAUCAUUGUGUGUCUUUGUCGUGUGCACUCAUGUGCCUUUGGCUUCUGCCGGCUGAGAUGUCCUGCUGGUCUCAACUGCUUGUGCAGUGUGCCACCUACUGCAGACUAAGAGGUGAUGAAACCUACCAGGACAUCUUCAGAGACUUUUCACACAUGGCCUCAAACAACCCGGAGAAGCUCAAACGCCGCAGCGCAGACCCAAAAACUUAACCAGCCGUUGCUGUCCUCUUCACCCUGUCGCACAACGCCACGUUUGACACUUCAUGCUUUCAACACACAUAUAGAAAGCAUUCAAGUAUCCAACUCACAGGCAGGCAGACGCUCACAUUUUCCCUGGCUACCUGCCACAUGUUCAGUCAUAGCUCAGCUGGUGUUGACUUCAGAGGGGAUGAACGCUCCAAACAGUGAAUUCUUUGUGCGAACACGUCAGACCAGAACAAUAGUGCCUGAGUGGGAACACUGGAACAGCUUUAUGAGACCAGCAUGAGGUGUCUUUAUGUGUAGCAGAGGGUAACACCAUGACUGCCAAGAUUUCCUAAUUAAAUCCUGUAAAUCUGUUUUUUUUUUUUUAGGCUGAAUGUGUUUUUAUGUUCCUCUGCCACUUCUUCUUCUUGAAUUUUUACGUGAAAAAGAAGUGAAAAUGUUUGUUGGAAAUGGACAUAAUCGUUGCAAAGAGUAAAGUUUUAUGUGAACUGUCUUCCACUGCAUUGUAAUGUAUGCAAUUUUUUUUUUUUUUACAAUUUGGGACAUUUUAGGACACUGUUCAUGUCUGUUUUGUUAAACUGUGAUGAGGUACUUGAGACUCACAAAACAAAUAAACUUCAGUACCAAACAAA